rnacentral:rRNA from 1 species
UACGUAGGGUCCGAGCGUUGUCCGGAAUUACUGGGCGUAAAGAGCUCGUAGGUGGUUUGUCGCGUUGUUCAUGAAAACUCACAGCUUAACUGUGGGCGUGCGGGCGAUACGGGCAGACUGGAGUACUGCAGGGGAGACUGGAAUUCCUGGUGUAGCGGUGGAAUGCGCAGAUAUCAGGAGGAACACCGGUGGCGAAGGCGGGUCUCUGGGCAGUAACUGACGCUGAGGAGCGAAAGCGUGGGGGAGCGAACAGG